rnacentral:rRNA from 1 species
UUAAAGUCUAACCUGCCCACUGAAUUUUUAAAUGGCCGCAGUAUCCUAACUGUGCAAAGGUAGCAUAAUCAUUAGUCUUUUAAUUGAAGGCUGGAAUGAAUGGUUGGACGAAAUAUUAACUGUUUCAUUUUAAUUUUUUAUAGAAUUUUAUUUUUUAGUCAAAAAGCUAAAAUUUUAUUAAAAGACGAGAAGACCCUAUAAAUCUUUAUAUUUUGUUUAUUUUGAUUUUAAAGAUUAUUUUAAUUUUUAUAAAUAAAAAUAUUUUAUUGGGGUGAUAUUAAAAUUUAAAAAACUUUUAAUUUUUAAAACCAUUAAUUUAUGAGUUAUUGAUCCAUUAAUAAUGAUUAAAAAUUUAAGUUACUUUAGGGAUAACAGCGUAAUUUUUUUGGAGAGUUCAUAUCGAUAAAAAAGAUUGCGACCUCGAUGUUGGAUUAAGAUAUAAUUUUGGGUGUAGCCGUUCAAAUUUUAAGUCUGUUCGACUUUUAAAUUCUUACAUGAUCUGAGUUCAAACCGGCGUAAGCCAGGUUGGUUUCUAUCUUUAAUUAAUUAUAAUAUUUUAGUACGAAAGGACCAAAUAUUAAAAUAAUUAUAUUUUAAAAAAGAAUAUUAUUAAUAAUU